rnacentral:rRNA from 1 species
GCUAAGACAGUCAGGAAGUUGGCUUAGAAGCAGCCAUCCUUUAAAGAAAGCGUAAUAGCUCACUGAUCGAGUCUUUCUGCGCGGAAGAUGUAACGGGGCUAAGCAAGUAACCGAAGCCGCGGAUUCAUACGUAAGUAUGAGUGGUAGGGGAGCGUUCUGUAAGCCUGCGAAGGUGUGUUGAGAAGCAUGCUGGAGGUAUCAGAAGUGCGAAUGCUGACAUGAGUAACGUUAAAGCGGGUGAAAAGCCCGCUCGCCGUAAGCCCAAGGUUUCCUGCUCUACGUUCAUCGGAGCAGGGUGAGUCGGCCCCUAAGGCCAGGCUGAGAAGCGUAGUCGAUGGGAACAAGGUUAAUAUUCCUAGACCAUUGUCAAGUAUGCGAUGGGGGGACGGAGUGUGAAAGAUGAUCCGGGUGUUGGAUAUCCCGGUUUGUGAGAGUAGAAGGAGAGCAGGCAAAUCCGCUCUCAAAUCUUCGAGUCAAAACAUCGAUUCUCCACGUGAGAAGAAGUCAUCGGAAGUGCUUCCAAGAAAAGCCUCUAAGUGGUAGCUUGACAAGACCGUACCGCAAACCGACACUGGUGGGCGAGUUGAAUAUACUAAGGCGCUUGAGAGAACUCGGGAGAAGGAACUCGGCAAAUUGACACCGUAACUUCGGAAGAAGGUGUGCCUUUGUAGCGUGAGAGAAGAAACAUCUUAAGCGUGAAGAGGCCUCAGAGAAUAGGUGGCUGCAACUGUUUACUAAAAACAUAGCACUCUGCAAAGAUGAAAGUCGACGUAUAGGGUGUGAUGCCUGCCCGGUGCUGGAAGAUUAAUUGAUGGGGUGCAAGCUCCUGAUCGAAGUCCCAGUAAACGGCGGCCGUAACUAUAACGGUCCUAAGGUAGCGAAAUUCCUUGUCGGGUAAGUUCCGACCUGCACGAAUGGCAUAAUGAUGGCCACACUGUCUCCUCCCGAGACUCAGUGAAGUUGAAGUGUUUGUGAUGAUGCAAUCUCCCCGCGGCUAGACGGAAAGACCCCAUGAACCUUUACUGUAGCUUUACAUUGGACUGUGAACCGAUUUGUGUAGGAUAGGUGGGAGGCAGAGAAAGCUCAACGCCAGUUUGGCGGAGCCAACCUUGAAAUACCACCCUGAUUUGUUUGCGGUUCUAACCUCGGCCCAUGAUCUGGGCUAGGGACCGUGUAUGGUAGGCAGUUUGACUGGGGCGGUCUCCUCCUAAAGGGU